CCCUUGACGGUACCUAAUCAGAAAGCCACGGCUAACUACGUGCCAGCAGCCGCGGUAAUACGUAGGUGGCAAGCGUUAUCCGGAAUUAUUGGGCGUAAAGCGCGCGUAGGCGGUUUUUUAAGUCUGAUGUGAAAGCCCACGGCUCAACCGUGGAGGGUCAUUGGAAACUGGAAAACUUGAGUGCAGAAGAGGAAAGUGGAAUUCCAUGUGUAGCGGUGAAAUGCGCAGAGAUAUGGAGGAACACCAGUGGCGAAGGCGACUUUCUGGUCUGCAACUGACGCUGAUGUGCGAAAGCGUGGGGAUCAAACAGGAUUAGAUACCCUGGUAGUCCACGCCGUAAACGAUGAGUGCUAAGUGUUAGGGGGUUUCCGC
rnacentral:rRNA from 1 species